GCCGUUGUAGCUCAGUUGGUAGAGCGCAUCCAUGGUAAGGAUGAGGUCCCCAGUUCAAUCCUGGGCAACGGCU
rnacentral:tRNA from 2 species